rnacentral:snoRNA from 1 species
AGGACUAUACUUUCAAGGGUCAUUUCUGUAGUUGGUCACUAGAAGAGAGUGAUCGCACCUGUACGGCAUCACAAGCCACGAGGAGGAGCGGGGUGCUCUCCCCUGAGCGUGAAGCUGGCCAGCAGUGCUGCCUGGGCAGGAGCCAUUGACCCUUCCCGCCCCUCUGGGGGCCAGGAGGGAGAAAGAGCACGGGCUGAGCAGU